rnacentral:rRNA from 1 species
CGCUUACCACUUUGUGAUUCAUGACUGGGGUGAAGUCGUAACAAGGUAACCGUAGGGGAACCUGCGGUUGGAUCACCUCCUUACAUUAAAGAAGC